CCCUUAGAUGUUCUGGGCCGCACGCGCGCUACACUGACGAUGGCAACGAGUUUUUCCUUCGCCGAAAGGUGUGGGUAAUCUUUUGAAACAUCGUCGUGCUGGGGAUAGAUCAUUGCAAUUUUUGAUCUUGAACGAGGAAUUCCUAGUAAGCGCGAGUCAUCAGCUCGCGUUGAUUACGUCCCUGCCCUUUGUACACACCGCCCGUCGCUACUACCGAUUGCAUGGUUUAGUGAGGACUCCUGAUUGGCGCCGCCGCCCCGGCAACGGAGCAGCGGACUGCCGAAAAGUUGUUCAAACUUGAUCAUUUAGAGGAAGUAAAAGUCGUAACA
rnacentral:rRNA from 1 species